rnacentral:misc_RNA from 1 species
UACGGAGGGGGCAAGCGUUAAUCGGAAUUACUGGGCGUAAAGGGCACGCAGGUGGCUUGGCAAGUCGGGUGUGAAAGCCCCGGGCUCAACCUGGGAAUUGCAUUCGAUACGGCCGUGCUAGAGUAUGGGAGAGGAAAGUGGAAUUCCCGGUGUAGCGGUGAAAUGCGUAGAUAUCGGGAGGAACAUUAGUGGCGAAGGCGGCUUUCUGGCCCAAUACUGACACUCAUGUGCGAAAGCGUGGGGAGCAAACAGG